rnacentral:rRNA from 1 species
GUAGGGUGCAAGCGUUGUUCGGAAUUAUUGGGCGUAAAGCGCGUGUAGGUGGCUAUGCAAGUCGGGUGUGAAAUCCCUCGGCUCAACCGAGGAAGUGCAUCCGAAACUACAUAGCUAGAGGACGGUAGAGGGAGGUGGAAUUCCUAGUGUAGAGGUGAAAUUCGUAGAUAUUAGGAGGAACAUCUGUGGCGAAGGCGGCCUCCUGGGCCGUUCCUGACACUGAGACGCGAAAGCGUGGGUAGCAAACAGGGAUUAGAUACCCUGGUAGUCCACGCCGUAAACGAUGAGUACUAGAUGUUGUGGGUAUUGACCCCUACAGUGUCGCCGCUAACGCAUUAAGUACUCCGCCUGGGAAGUACGGUCGCAAGAUUA